UACGAAGGGGGCUAGCGUUGCUCGGAAUGACUGGGCGUAAAGGGCGCGUAGGCUGUUUGUACAGUCAGAUGUGAAAUCCCCGGGCUUAACCUGGGAACUGCAUUUGAUACGUGCAGACUAGAGUCCGAGAGAGGGUUGUGGAAUUCCCAGUGUAGAGGUGAAAUUCGUAGAUAUUGGGAAGAACACCGGUUGCGAAGGCGGCAACCUGGCUCGGAACUGACGCUGAGGCGCGAAAGCGUGGGGAGCGAACAGG
rnacentral:rRNA from 2 species